GAGACUUUAGCUUGUAAUUGUAUUUUGACUAUGAGGGGAGCCGGUAGAAUGUCAUGGCCCCGUCCUAUCUAUGUAUGUAGAGGUGUGCGUUGGACAAGUAUUUUGUAAAUGAGCUUGACUCUUGUUCUAUGAUGUCAUUUUGAAAUGGUUUGCCUUUAGUCCCUAUUUCCCGUUAAUUAAUGUUGAAUGUACUUCCGCGAC
rnacentral:lncRNA from 1 species